AUUGAACGCUGGCGGCAUGCCUUACACAUGCAAGUCGAACGGCCUCCCUGGAGCAAUCCUGGCGGCGAUGGUCGAACGGGUGAGUAAGGUAUCGGAACGUGCCCAGUCGUGGGGGAUAAUGUAGCGAAAGUUACGCUAAUACCGCAUACGAUCUAUGGAUGAAAGCGGGGGAUCGCAAGACCUCGCGCGAUUGGAGCGGCCGAUAUCAGAUUAGGUAGUUGGUGGGGUAAAGGCUCACCAAGCCGACGAUCUGUAGCUGGUCUGAGAGGACGACCAGCCAAACUGGGACUGAGACACGGCCCAGACUCCUACGGGAGGCAGCAGUGGGGAAUUUUGGACAAUGGGCGAAAGCCUGAUCCAGCCAUGCCGCGUGCAGGAUGAAGGCCUUCGGGUUGUAAACUGCUUUUGUACGGAACGAAAAGGUUUGGCCUAAUAAGCUGAGCUCAUGACGGUACCGUAAGAAUAAGCACCGGCUAACUACGUGCCAGCAGCCGCCGUAA
rnacentral:rRNA from 1 species